CUUUGGCAUCCAGUGCCUUGUACUUAAUGAAAGUUUGCAACACUCUGAGCAACUGUUCUCAGUUCUUCUGCCUUAUUUCUGGCCUCCGUUGCAACUGUUUUGACCUAGUGAAGGCCUAGACUUUCUCAGACAGAUUUCUUUUAACUCUUCUGCCCUGACUCCAGUCUUCACUGGGAUGCUGCCUUGCACUUAGGGAAGGUUCACAUGCCUCAAGGAUCUCUCUCUCUCAGAUUUCUUGACUUUCCCUCAGUCUUCAGUAUAGUCCUCCUCUGUGCCUGGUGAAGACCUGUGGUAAAGUGCUGGCAGAGAGGAAGCUAAAUCACGUAAAAAUUAAGAAACAGCUCAGCGUUUCACAGCUAAGCUGCCGGCUUCCCCUUGAAGGAAUAGGAGUAGACCUGCUGAACUAUCACAUGAGAGAAGAGGCCCAAAAGCUUGCACACUACAGUCAAGCUGGCCCUUAAAGAGAUGGACCUAGAAGAUGCUGAGCCAGAUGUACUCAAUUACUUCUCCAAAAUUCAUCAAUUAGGAAUACAACAUGUUUAAGACCACAGAACAUCUGCAUAGGCUGUAAAUUUCGUUGAAUGAUGGAUGCAAAGAUGGAAGACAGAUGGAUAGAGGAAAAGACAGAAUCAGAUACUGGAUGAGUUAGUACUGCUGCCUGUGCUUCAGAGCUGUCUUAUUACCACAAGGCCGGCAAGCAUCAAUGUCCCCACAUCCCCCUCUGCCUCCCCCUGAAAUGUACCGAUUUAUAUGAAAAUUAAGAUUACAAAUUAAAGCCUGGCUAUCCUGGAGUUUUCCAGUUCAUCAGCCAUCCAAUAAAAAUGAUGUCAAGCCUGUAUGCAUAAUUCCCGGAAGAUUACUUUCGUCCUUACAGCUAAGCCCUGUCCCUGAUAUGAAAGAUCUCUAUCCACUUUUAUUGAAAUAAAGAACUAACAUCAUAAUCCCAAUAUUGAGGUAUAAUCUUCAUUAUCUCCUGACCCUCUUGAGGUUCCCCCAAUCUAUAUUACUUCAGAUUUGGUUUAUGUGUAAUCCUUAUGUAUUUACUUUUAUUGAGAUAGGAUUAAAAACUAAAAAAAAAGCUUCAAAAAAU
rnacentral:lncRNA from 1 species